rnacentral:rRNA from 1 species
ACUCCUACGGGAGGCAGCAGUAAGGAAUAUUGGACAAUGGGCGAAAGCCUGAUCCAGCCAUGCCGCGUGAAGGAUUAAGGUCCUCUGGAUUGUAAACUUCUUUUAUAUGGGACGAAAAAAGGCAAUUCUUUGUCACUUGACGGUACCAUAUGAAUAAGCACCGGCUAACUCCGUGCCAGCAGCCGCGGUAAUACGGAGGGUGCAAGCGUUAUCCGGAUUCACUGGGUUUAAAGGGUGCGUAGGCGGGUAUGUAAGUCAGUGGUGAAAUCUCGAAGCUUAACUUCGAAACUGCCAUUGAUACUAUAUAUCUUGAAUAUUGUGGAGGUUUGCGGAAUAUGUCAUGUAGCGGUGAAAUGCUUAGAUAUGACAUAGAACACCUAUUGCGAAGGCAGCAGGCUACACAUAUAUUGACGCUGAGGCACGAAAGCGUGGGGAUCAAACAGGAUUAGAUACCCUGGUAGUCCACGCCCUAAACGAUGGAUACUCGACAUAUGCGAUACACUGUAUGUGUCUGAGCGAAAGCAUUAAGUAUCCCACCUGGGAAGUACGUCCGCAAGGAUGAAACUCAAAGGAAUUGGCGGGGGUCCGCACAAGC